AAGCACUUUGGAGGCCAAGGCAGGCGGAUCACCUGAGAUCCAAGACAUACACGUAAAUGAAUACAAUGAAUAAAAAUAACACCUGGGAAGUUUCAAGUUGAACUCUGUGAUCCUAUGAAUAAGGCUGACCACAAGUCCAGUGAGUGGAGCCUGCUGUUAAUUGACUCUUACAGUAGAUGGCAAGGAGGAAAACAUCUAUACUUGGAGUCCCAAGGUAAUGAGCAAAUUAUUCUAUGUAACAGAAGAGUGGCCCAUUUGGAGAUAACUGUACUAAUGGGACCCAUAUGAUGCAAAUGAGAGUUAUCAGGAUGAGAAAUAACUUUCUAGCUGUAAGGAGCUCCAUCUUUCCGUCACUCUGGUGUCUGCUCAGAGACCUUGGUGUAGAGGUUGCACCCUGAAGAGAGUGCUGGUGAUGUGAAGGUGGUCAGGGAGCUGGAGAGUCCUUCUCAUUGCUUAUCCUCUUCAGAAUCCACUUACUUUCCCCUGAAGUUGAUAUAUUGCCAGCAUCUUCUUUUCAGAUCUGCAGAA